rnacentral:lncRNA from 1 species
CUCGACAUACUAGUUACCUACAUCGGUUGACUUGAAAUGUCCAAAAAUGUUUAUCAAUUAGUAUUAUUUCUCUAUUUAACUAUUAAAUAAAGUUUUUUUUGUUGUUAUAGUAAAAUAUAAUUCGAGAGUUCAUCUCCUAUUGAUUAUUGAUUUUUAAUUUUCAAAGGUAAGAAUGAUUUGUUUAUGAUAUAAUUGUGGUAAGUGAUUAUUAGCAUAUUUUAAUUCACGUUUUAUUCUUCAAUCUCGUGUUUCAAUGAUGAAUUUGUCGUGAUUU